rnacentral:sRNA from 5 species
UUGAACGUGAAGGAUAACGUUGCGUCAGCAACGGCCCGUAGGGCAAGGCGAAGCCGAGUCAUCCUGCACGACCCACCA